AUUGAACGCUGGCGGCAUGCCUUACACAUGCAAGUCGAACGGCAGCACGGAGCUUGCUCUGGUGGCGAGUGGCGAACGGGUGAGUAAUAUAUCGGAACGUACCCUGGAGUGGGGGAUAACGUAGCGAAAGUUACGCUAAUACCGCAUACGAUCUAAGGAUGAAAGUGGGGGAUCGCAAGACCUCAUGCUCCUGGAGCGGCCGAUAUCUGAUUAGCUAGUUGGUGGGGUAAAGGCCUACCAAGGCAUCGAUCAGUAGCUGGUCUGAGAGGACGACCAGCCACACUGGAACUGAGACACGGUCCAGACUCCUACGGGAGGCAGCAGUGGGGAAUUUUGGACAAUGGGCGCAAGCCUGAUCCAGCAAUGCCGCGUGAGUGAAGAAGGCCUUCGGGUUGUAAAGCUCUUUUGUCAGGGAAGAAAAGGCUAUGGAUAAUACCUGUGGCUCAUGACGGUACCUGAAGAAUAAGCACCGGCUAACUACGUG
rnacentral:rRNA from 1 species